rnacentral:rRNA from 1 species
UACGUAGGUGGCAAGCGUUGUCCGGAUUUACUGGGCGUAAAGGGCGUGCAGGCGGUUUGUUAAGUGCAGGGUGAAAGCUCCCGGCUCAACUGGGAGAGGUCCUUGCAUACUGGCAAACUCGAGGGAGGCAGAGGAAAGUGGAAUUCCCGGUGUAGUGGUGGUAUGCGUAGAGAUCCGGAGGAACACCAGCGGCGAAGGCGGCAUCCUGGACUGGUCCUGACACUCAGGAGCGAAAGCCAGGGGAGCAAACGGG